UACGUAGGGGGCAAGCGUUGUCCGGAUUCAUUGGGCGUAAAGAGCGUGUAGGCGGCCAGGUAGGUCGGUUGUGAAAACUGGAGGCUCAACCUUCAGAGGUCGACCGAAACCAUCUGGCUAGAGUCGACAGGAGAGUGAGUACUCCGGUGUAGCGGUGAAAUGCGUAGAUAUCGGGAGGAACACCUGAGGCGAAGGCGGGCUACUGGGCCGAUACUGGACGCUGAUGCGCGAAAGCCAGGGGAGCGAACGGG
rnacentral:rRNA from 1 species